UCCGUGCACGCCCCUUCAGUCGUCGGCCCGAGUGCGACUUCGUCUCGGCCGCUUGUGGGUUUCCUGUGUUGCGUACCUACUUAAAUGGAAUUCGGCUGUCCCAACGUUCGCAUGUCCGCCUUGCGUUGUCCCUUCGGGGUGCGGCGUGGGGUGGACCUCGAAGCGUCGUCCGCGUUCCGGGUCGCUCGCGUUACGUGCUGCUGUCCCGGCCCGCGGACCGUCGCUCGGACUCUCGGAUGCGGAAUACCCGGAGGGUGCGGGGUCGUCUUGUCGACCCCCGUUUGCCCGGAAUCAAUUGUGUUGCUGAACGACUGUCGUCGUUCUGUUGAGGCGUCGGAUCUCCCGUAUCCGUCGUCCUCUCGGGACGUC
rnacentral:misc_RNA from 1 species